ACAGGAAUUACAGGAGAAAGUGGCCAAAUAUAAAAGGUUGGAAGAUUUCAUACAGAAAAUCCGCGAUGUCUUGCCAUCCAACUAUCUGGGAUAUUGGGAAGAUACUGUGGUCAAAACCCUCAUCAAAAGGCACAGGGCACUGAUGGAUGCAAAUAACACCAUGAUGAAGAAUUUCUGUAUCCAGCUAUAUAACCUUGAAAACACCCAACAUGAAUUCAGGGUCUUGCAAGAGGAACACGACACCACAAAAUGUGUGCUGAUAAGCAAAGUUGCUGAGCUUCAGUCAAAGUACAAUGAACUAAGAGCUAAAAAUACAGAGUUGUUCCAUUACGUCAGCUAUAAUGAAGGCCUCUUGA